rnacentral:lncRNA from 1 species
ACUGAAACCCAAGGGGCCGCCACACCGGGUGGGCGGGACCGACUAUUCCCUGACAGGCCCCUGGAGCUGCAUGCCAAGCGGGGCUGCGCCGAGCCGCUGAGCGCAGAGAGGAGCACCCGGCACCCAUCUGGCCGGACUCGGGGCCGCACCCGAGCGCGCCGGGCAGCAGUGGGCGCUCGAGAUCCUCCUCUGCCCUACGCGCUUUCCCUCCGGGCCCGGCCUCCUCCGUCCCCUCCUUCUGCUCCUGCUCCUCCUCCCGCUCCUCCCCUCCUCGGGAUUGAGCACCAAAACGCCCGCCUGCAAGGUCCUCGGCGCGCUGGCAGCCAGAAGCCGCUGCCACCACCUCUGGGUCUCAGUGGGUGCCUGCGCCCUCUCGCCGCCCACCCGCCCGCCCCGGGUCUUCCUGAAACUUGCUCCACCCGCCGCGGGUGCUGGUCAUUGCUGCCCAUGGCCCAACCCAGGAGCCUCUUUAGGGCGCCCGACGGGCUGGACGGCUGCGCCGCUCAGUAAUUGAAGGCCUGAGACGCCCAUGUGCCACUGAUUGGAAGGCUUCCCUGCUGCGGCGCUUCAUGAUCCAGCAGCGCGUGGACCAGUG